rnacentral:rRNA from 1 species
AGUGAACGCUGGCGGUAGGCCUAACACAUGCAAGUCGAACGGCAGCACAGUAAGAGCUUGCUCUUACGGGUGGCGAGUGGCGGACGGGUGGGGAAUACAUCGGAAUCUACUUUUUCGUGGGGGAUAACGUAGGGAAACUUACGCUAAUACCGCAUACGACCUACGGGUGAAAGCAGGGGAUCUUCGGACCUUGCGCGAUUGCAUGAGCCGAUGUCGGAUUGGCUAGUUGGCGGGGUCAAGGCCCACCAAGGCGACGAUCCGUAGCUGGUCUGAGAGGAUGAUCAGCCACACUGGAACUGAGACACGGUCCAGACUCCUACGGGAGGCAGCAGUGGCGAAUAUUGGACAAAGGGCGCAAGCCUGAUCCAGCCAUACCGCGUGGGUGAAGAAGGCCUUCGGGUUGUAAAGCCCUUUUGUUGGGAAAGAAAAGCAGCAGGUUAAUACCCCGCUGUUCUGACGGUACCCAAAGAAUAAGCACCGGCUAACUUCGUG